AAUUUUCGACAAUGGGGGACACCCUCAUCCACCCAUCCCGCGUGUAUGAUGAAGGCCUUCGGGUGGUAGAGUACCUCUGGCAGAGAAGAAAAGGUAUCUCCUAAUACGAUAUACUGCUGACGGUAUCUGCAGACUCAGCACCGGCUAACUACGUGCCGGCAGCCGCGGUAAUACGGAGGGUGCAAGCGUUAAUCGGAAUUACUGGGCGUAAAGCGUGUGUAGGCGGUGCGGAAAGAAAGAUGGGAAAUCCCAGGGCUCAACCUUGGAACUGCAUUUUUAACUGCCGAGCUAGAGUAUGUCAGAGGGGGGUAGAAUUCCACGUGUAGCAGUGAAAUGCGUAGAUAUGUGGAGGAAUACCGAUGGCGAAGGCAGCCCCCUGGGAUAAUACUGACGCUCAGACACGAAAGCGUGGGGAGCAAACAGG
rnacentral:rRNA from 1 species